rnacentral:rRNA from 2 species
AAACCAACAGGGAUUGCCUUAGUAGCGGCGAGUGAAGCGGCAAAAGCUCAAAUUUGAAAUCUGGCACUUUCAGUGUCCGAGUUGUAAUUUGAAGAAGGUAUCUUUGGGUCUGGCUCUUGUCUAUGUUUCUUGGAACAGAACGUCACAGAGGGUGAGAAUCCCGUGCGAUGAGAUGUCCCAGACCUAUGUAAAGUUCCUUCGAAGAGUCGAGUUGUUUGGGAAUGCAGCUCUAAGUGGGUGGUAAAUUCCAUCUAAAGCUAAAUAUUGGCGAGAGACCGAUAGCGAACAAGUACAGUGAUGGAAAGAUGAAAAGAACUUUGAAAAGAGAGUGAAAAAGUACGUGAAAUUGUUGAAAGGGAAGGGCUUGAGAUCAGACUUGGUAUUUUGUAUGUUACUCUCUCGGGGGUGGCCUCUACAGUUUACCGGGCCAGCAUCAGUUUGAGCGGUAGGAUAAGUGCAAAGAAAUGUGGCACUGCUUCGGUAGUGUGUUAUAGUCUUUGUCGAUACUGCCAGCUUAGACUGAGGACUGCGGCUUCGGCCUAGGAUGUUGGCAUAAUGAUCUUAAGUCGC